GCGGCUUUAGCUCACUUGGGAGAGCGCCAGACUGAAGUCAAACUUCAGCCAAUGAUUAUCUGGAGGCACUGUGUUCGAUCCACAGAAGCCGCA
rnacentral:tRNA from 1 species